rnacentral:rRNA from 1 species
CCCUUAGAUGUUCUGGGCCGCACGCGUGCUACACUGAGUAAUUCAAUGGGUAAGGGAACGCUAGAGCAUUACCUAAUCUUGAAAUUUGCUCGUGAUGGGGAUCGACGGUUGCAAUUUUCCGUCGUGAACGAGGAAUACCUUGUAGGCGCAUGUCAUCAUCAUGCGCCGAAUACGUCCCCGCCCUUUGUACACACCGCCCGUCGCUCCUACCGAUUGAGUGAUCCGGUGAGGCUCUGGGACCUGGACGGAAAGAGCGUUUCGCUUGUUCUGUUUGGGAAACUUGGUCGAACCUUAUCAUUUAGAGGAAGGAGAAGUCGUAACA